CCCAAAUUCCUAUCUCUCACUUCCCACCUCUAGUUUCCUCGUUGACAAGGAGUCAUACGAUCAUUGGUGUAUCCAUCUAUACAGGAAGAAUUGAAGCAGGCACAGAAAAAAGUAGAACCUAUUAUAUAAAACAUUCUAAACUCCAAAGCAUUGGAUCUAGGCAUCUUAGAAGCUCUGCAUGCAACUGAUAAAGCAAGGGUCAGCUGGGGAACCUGCUGAUCCAAGCUGGAUUUGGUUGUGAGGUUCUGCUUUAAUAUGCAAGUUGAUCAGGCAUCUCUGCUCCACAUUUUCUUCAUCGUCAUUGAACCAACGAGCUAACCAGGGUAUAUUGUCAUGUUGCAGCAAAGUCAGAAGACAACAAGCCCCAUUGCACGAGCAAAUUUCAGGUCUUUGUACUGCAUCUGCUACUGCCCCAUUAACAAAGUGGUGCAGAUGGCCAACCCCUGAGUCUGUGGAGUUAUAUACUCUGGGAGAGUAGAUGUUUUUGAAUACCAAUCUAAUCUAUUAUCCAGAAUGCCUGAACUCAACUCAGGAAAAAACAAGCAAGAGUUUGGGAAGGCUCAGGGAACAGUCAGAGGCUCUUGGUUAAUAUCACUUCCUUCAUUGCUGUCCAGUUAACUCAUGUCUGGAUGACUGAGACAUUUGGGAUCUGGUCAGAGACCUAUUGAAAGCAGCACCCUCCAUAUGUCCCUAUGAGGUAAAUCAUGGUAUAACAUGAGGAGGGUCUGGGGAUGCUUUUUCAGAGCCUACCAAGUUUCUUUGUUCUUAGAGAAACUCCUUUAGUUAUGAUUUAGGAAAGAAAAGGUUUAAAAAAUUAAAAAAAUAGAAGAACAUGGUUGUAUAAAUAGACCUUCAUGAAAGUGUAUGAGAGCUUCUUUAAAGAACUGACUAAAGGAGUGUUCAAUUAUGAAUUUGCAUAAGGAGACAAAGGCAGAAAGAUAAGUGAAAUCCAGUUUCAUUUUUAGGACGUACUAGAAAAAGAAAUAGUAUACUUUCCUUUUCUUCAAAUACUCAAGGUCUCGAACUGUCAUGAACUAGAGGGCAAAAUAGCUUACAACUCCAGCAAUCUGCUUUCCCUGGGUUAUGUUAUAAAACAACUCCCAAAUGUCAUUUUACUGCAAGAAUAACAAAAUCAUCCUUGUUCAUGUUAUAGUAACGUUUUGGGGUCAGCGGUAGCUAUGCUCCAGACUAUAAGUCUGAUUCAUCUCUCCAUGGAUCUUCUCAAUCAUGGGUCUAGGUUGAAGGAAACACCCUGUACAGGGACAUGCUCAUUCUUGUGGCACAGGCAAAAAGCAAGAGA